GACGAGCGCUGGCGGCGUGCUUAACACAUGCAAGUGGUGCGACGAACCAGGGCUUGCCCUGGGGCAAAGCCGCGAACGGGUGAGUAACACGUGGGUAAUCUGCCCCGAUGACCGGGACAACCCGAGGAAACUCGGGCUAAUACCGGAUGAUGAGCCUUGGCGUAAGCCUUGUCUCUAAAGGAAGCUUCGGCCUCCGCAUUGGGAGGAGCCCGCGGCCCAUUAGCUUGUUGGUGGGGUAAUGGCCUACCAAGGCAACGAUGGGUAGCUGGUCUGAGAGGACGAUCAGCCACACUGGGACUGAGACACGGCCCAGACUCCUACGGGAGGCAGCAGUGGGGAAUCUUGCGCAAUGCGCGAAAGCGUGACGCAGCAACGCCGCGUGGGGGAAGACGGCCUGG
rnacentral:rRNA from 1 species